ACCUGGCUGGCUCAGUCAAUAGAGCAAAUGACUCUUGAUCUUGGGGUUGUGAGUUCAAGCCCCAUGUUGGGUG
rnacentral:tRNA from 1 species